UGGGUGGGCAUGGUGGGUCAGACUUGUCAUGCCAGCACUUGGGAAGUAGAAACAGGAGGCUCAUUGAAAGUUCAAGACCAGCCUGGACUAUAAGUGAGACUCUGUCUCAAACAACAAAAAAAGCUAGGCAUGGGACUGGAGAGAUGGCUCAAUGCUUAGGAGCACUGGCUGUUCUUACAGAGGACCUGGGUUCAAUUCCCAGCACCCACAUGGUGCACCUUCUUCUGGCCUCCGUGAGCCCUGCAUGCACAGGUACACUCACACACAUGCAGGCAAAGCACUCAUAUGCAUAAAAUAAAAUUAAAAGUUUUUAAAAACUAGAUGUGAUGGUGCACACCUUUAAUCCCAGCAGGUAGAUCUCUGUGAGUUCAAGGCUAGCCUGAUCUACAUAACAAGUUCCAGGACAGCCAGGCCUAAAGUGGCAGGAUGGCAGGAUCCCAUCAGGCCCCUUGGAAACUCCUCCUCCUUCUGAAGCCAACCCUGAGGGGUGUAACCAUUCGACAAGCUCUGACAAGGACCCUGUGGUGGACAGAGAGAGCAGUCCAGGCUCGGGCAGCAGCCCCUUCCAGCUCAUGGCCUCCUUGGAGGAAGACAUCAUUGACUUGAAGUAGAGUCCGAGUCUCAUCACCAUCUUUAGUUUUAUUACACAGGUUUCUACUCCUCAAACAGCUCCAACGUCAUGUCUCAACAAAAGGCGGCUUCCUGCCAGGCAGCAAUCUAUUGGACCAAACCUGCACCCUCAGCCAAUUUGGGUCACUCACUUUCCAGUGUCUGGUGCCAUCGCUCUCCACCUUGUUUAUUUCCGUUCAAGAAUCAUCAGUCCUCCUGUAAUAAAGGUGGUGGAUUUCAUUGACAUUUUAGAUCAAAACUUUCAAUAAAUCGAAAAAUGUUCAUUCUUAUUUACUGCAACCCCUCUCUUAGAUUUUAAAGAUUUAGAUUGAAAUUGUUUUUUUCAUUACAGUUUUGACUUAUGUCACAUACUUUCUUUUAUAGCAAAAAGCCAUUGCUUUUUAAUUUUAUUAUAAAUACAUUUUCUUUCUGCACUGUUGACCCUGUUGCUGUUUGAAUCCACUGGGAUGGGACCCAGCUGUGCUCCCAGCUGGAGACCCCAGAAAGCUGAAUGGACACAGCUCAAACACUCCUCCUGCCUUCCCCUUCAGUCCAAAACAAG
rnacentral:lncRNA from 1 species